AGCACUGAUCAAUUCUUUCCAUAGUUACAUAAUUGUGUUUGUUUGCUGUGGUUACGUAAUUUUCCUUGUUUGUUUCCUUUCAGUUUUUAGCUUCUCGUUGUUUAUCAAUAACAAAAAUGUAUAAUUGGAACAUAUUCUGAUGCUUUAAAUACAAUAUCUUCUCCUUUUUGUACUGAUUAUAAAAUACAGAAAGGACAGGUUGACUGACAGGUAGAUUGCGAGAAGUCCAUGGCCCCAAGACAAAUGGCCAUUAAGAAAAGUCUCGUGUCAAUGAGGAAAAGGGUGAGGGUAUAUUCUUGGAAGAAAAAAGUGAGGAGAUCGAAAGCAGAGUUAGCUGAGAUGAGAGAAGAAAUGAAGCAUAAGAAUGAAGAGCUGGCAAGGCUUCUUCACCAACUUGUCCAAAGGAAACAACUGAUAAGAUCGGUGGCAAGGUCCAACACUUGGGUCAAUCACUUCGUUGAAGCAACGAUUGCAAGUUGGGAAGAUUAAGAGAGAGGGAACUACCUGAACCCAUCUUUCUUUCUGUUGAUGAGGCCGUAAAUGUUACGGUCAUGGAAUCGAUCACAAAGGUUUGGAGUUCAAAUGGUGGAAUCAGCAGAGGAGAGGGUAAGUUUGGCGGCGGAGGGGUUGGGUCGGCCACGGGUCAGGGCCAGGGACUAGUCAAUUGGUGGAGAAGGGCUUUUGGUGUUGUUGAUAAGACUUGCAUGAUGUUUGGAAGAUGAAUCACGUGUCAUGAUUCACUUUUAAGUUGAAUUUUGAAGAUGAGUCUGCAUGAACGAAGAGACAUAUUAUAUGUAAUUUUAAACUCUUUUUAAUUUUUUAAUAAUUAAUACUUGUAAUCUCUAUAUGAACAAUUGUAAUUUGUGUAAUCUCAUCCAUUGUUAAUAUCUUUGUAUAUACCAUGCAAAUGAAUAAAAAAAGCUGAUGAUGAAGUUUAAUUAAUGUGCAA